CAGCCUCAGGGUGAGCAUUUCCAGUCACCCCACAUGCACAGUGAGACUUCUCUAGAACUGCGGAGUACAACAAACAACCAAAAGAGGGCAGUGAUUUUCAAAGUAUCACUGAGCCAGGAGCAUCAGAAACACCUGAGAACCUGGUAGAAAUACAAAUUAUCUCAGGAGGAAAAAAGAUGGAGGUGGGAAAUAUCCUGAGGAAUACUUUUGUGGUGAGUAGACAGGUAUUCAAUGAAUAAGUCACUAGUAAGUCAGGUAUAACUAAAGAAAUGUUGAACAUACAUGCAUGUCACAGUCAAUAUCCCAUACCUUGCACAGUUACUCACAAUAGAUUUUUUCUCUUUCCUAACCAUUUUGCCAUACUAACAUCACCUAUUUAAAACACAAAUAUGUCACGACUAAGACCUUCAGUGACUCCUCAUUGCCCACAAUGA